rnacentral:lncRNA from 1 species
GCUGGUGUUCGGCAGUUGGCUCCAAGUCCGCAAUGAUUUGAACCAUCGAAAUCUAACCAAAUACGCCAAGAAUUUCGGUGACUUAUUCUUGCUCAGAAUGGGUCAACGUAAUAUCAUCGUGGUUUCAUUGCCAGACCAUGCAAAGGACAUUUUGCACACACAGGUAGUUGAGUUUGGUUCAGGUACAAGGAACAUCGUUUUCAACAUUUUCAUCGGUAAAGGCCAAGACAUGGUGUCCACCGUUUACAGCGAGCAUUGGCACAAGAUGCUGUAGAUCAUGAAGGUGCCGUUUUUCACCAACAAGGUUGUGCAACAAUACCGACGACAAGGGUGGGAGGCCGAAGUGGCGGCUGUGAAAAUGUUUUAAUAAUAAC